UCACUGUCCGUAGUGUGUCGUUGCUAUGGAUACAGUAGCGUCGCAAUCAGUGAGGAAGCUGCUAACAGGCUCUUCAACGACCACCGAAAUGAUUCAGUGCAAAGCAGCCUCUACGUUAUUUACAGGGACGGUACUUGGAUAAACGACAGAUCAUGGAGCGUGAUGAUGAACUGAACGACUUGAAGCUCCAGUUCCAAGCACUACAAAAACAGCAGGAGAAAAGAAAACCGGUGAGGAAAAAAGAGAAAGAACUGGAUAAGCUCAACGCCAGUGUUGCCCAGGAUGAUUUGGAUCUAUCUAAGCAAGGUAUUCAGGGAGAAAGUCUGGACGACAGACUACUACAGAAUGAGAAUUUGCUGGACCAGCUGAGGGCGGUUAAAGAUGAAAAUGGAAGGCUCUUCAAACUUCUGAGUGAAAAGGAUUUUGAGAUUAAACACCUGAAGAAGAAAAGAGAAGAAGAACGACUGGUUUUGUCAGGCACAUCGGGUUUAGCAGGGGAUAUAGCAGCCACCAAGAUUGUUGAGCUGUCCAAGAAGAAUAGAGAGCUAACUGCCGAAAUUGAGCGAGAGAAGAUCAAAUCCAAGCAAAACAGUAACAGAAUCAAAGAGCUUGAGAAAGAGCUGCAGGCAUCUUUGGUGCAGUCUCCAAAUGGACAAAAGACUGACAAGAAGUCACAGAAUAAGAGCUCAUCUGAAGACUGUGAGCAGGAAAAUCCAGUGGUGAAAUCACUGCAGGAAAAAUUAGCUGCCGCCCAACUGAAAGUGUCUGAGUAUCGUAACCAGGUUCAGUCUGUCAAACAGGAGUUGAAAGUAGCUCAGAAGGUUUUGAUUAGUGAGGUUGGAGAGGAUGUUAACCUUCAGCAGUUGCUAAGCUGCCCAGGUAGCUUUAGAGGUCGCGCUCAGCAGAUACUUGCUCUUCAGACAAGGCUGCGGGACCUUGAGCAGCAGUUGAACCAGUCAACUCAGCGCAGGCAGCCAAGUGUCCAAAGUGUAGAAGAAGAAUUUCUGGGCGUGAGCGUCCUACAGAAAACCCCCCCUCAAGACAGGAACCUCAACUACAUCCGCACCAUCGAGAAGGAGAAGAGACAGGCAUUUGAGAGGAUCUCAGCGGACUAUGAGGCCCUCCUGAAAGACCACGAGGAUGUGAAGAAAAAGCUGGAAGCCUCUAAGGCCCGGAAUAAAUCUCUGUCUACCGAAAUGAAAACUCUGAAGGCGCAGAUCUCCACCCUCCUGGAGAAGGGUAAACAUGAUGAUGAGCUGGUGGAUGCUCUGUUGAAGCAACAAACCCGGAUGCAGGAGGUGCUGAGACAGCUCAACCAACAGCAGAACUUACAGAGCAAGGAGAUCCAGCAAAGCCAGAGACAACAGCUGAGCAGUGAGCCUUCAGAGCAGAGCACUCUCAUCCAGAAGCUUAAGGCCAAGAUCAAAGAACUAGAGGAGAAAAUCCAGCGGCUCUCGCUCAAGGAAGAGGGCAUGGAAAGACAGUCCAGCCCCAAGACAACAACUUGCAGUUCAGGAUCUCUUCCUGAAGAGGGAGACAUUGACAGGAGAAUAACAACUCCAGGUUCAUUUUCUAAAUUUGGUCAUAAACUGGUACUGCCUGCUGUGGGAUCUAGUGUGGAAUUCAAGGGCCCAAAUUCUUCAAAAUGUCCACAGUGUUCAGCUGAUGUGAGUGCACUGAUGACCCAGUGUAACGAAUACAGAAUCCUCUGUGUGGAGAAGGACAGACUCCUUGAGCUGGUUAAUGUCCUGCUGACAAAACCAGGUUCCACCAGAUCUUGGAUUUUAUUUAUUUAGUAUGAACCAUGACUGAUGGAUGCACUGAAGCAAAGACUUUGACAGACAACCUCCAGGCUAAAAGAGAAAGAGACGAACCAGAAGUUUUUGGAGGCAGAGCAGAAGUACGAGGAGGAGCGGCGAAGGAUCGUGAUCCUGGAGCAGCAGCUGGAGAGGACGGAAUUAGGUGCAAAGUAGGGACUGCAAAAGCAGCAAGGGUAGAACUGGUAUGCCAAGGCUGAAUAACAGCAUGAUGCAACAAUGCAAAACGGAUUUUCAUUUUUCUCAUUUGCUCGCUUGUGAGUGUCACGACUGUGCCCCUCAGGAGCAGCAUCCCUCAGCACCAGGGAGGCAAGAGUCUCUAAAAAAACCAGGAACUGUCCACAGACAAACCGAACAAACUGUCCAGCAAGUCUGUUGGCAUUUGUAAACAUUUCAUUUUUAACUGUCAAUACUGUAGAUGUCCUGACACUGAAAACAAGCAAGAUUUUUGUUUUUUGCAAUUCUAAAAUUUACACCACAUGACAGAAUAGUGACGCAUGACAGCGGACACACUGCCCAGUGCUCAUGACAACCUCAUGUGUGGGCUGCACAGAUGUUCAUGUUGCUCUUGUAUGUUGUCUCCUGGCUGGUCAUUCAGCUGGAGGAAACGGAGGCGCUGAGGGCAUCGCUAAAGAGCACUCUCCACCGUGACCUGCAGCUCUGCGGUGACGUGAUGAGACAAGUCAAGCAUGUUUUCCUGCAGGCUCUGUGACAACCCAGACAAGACACUAACCAGGGGAACGGGCUGGUCCCUGCUCAACCUCACGUCCAGCUGAGCCCUACCUUCUCCUGUCACAUGUGACAAACAGCAGCCUUCAGGAAACGGGUUCUCCCCGUCACAUAAACAUCAUACAGAUUUGCGUCUUUUUCCUCAUUUGAACCCUCAAAAUGAGCCUGAGAUGGUUCCUUUGCGUGUUUGGUGACUUUAGUUUAACUACUCGAGUACCUUGAGGAGCAUAUUUUUCAACUUAACCCUGAUGGCAUCAGACAAGCAUUCUUAAUGAUUGCAGAAAUGUUUGACACUGAUAGGAUGUCUCCUCAUGGUUUCUUAUCUCGUGUGCUUACUUUUUUUUCUAAAUGUCACUGUCACAUUUUAUUAGGUCUAUGUUUAUUUUUUUCCUCCGCUGGCAACCGUAUAAGCACAUCACAGGUGGAGAAAGCAGCAAUGUCUGUUUUUAAAAUAUUUUUGUACACUAAUUAGACAUCUAAUUUGAUCAACAAAAAAGGGAACCAAAUGUUCACCAAAUGUUUUAAUACAUUAUUUACCUUCAUGGCUAUAACCCCCCUAGAGCUUUUUGAGUUUUUCUUGGCUCCGGAUGGUUGUACGUAAACAUGUGAUAGGCCAAAUGUUAAACACUCCCGCUAAGUUCCCAAAAACAUCAAUAUUCAUUUGAAAUAUUACUGCUAAUCAUUUCUGAUUUGAAACCAGCUGUGUGGGAAUAGCGGUUGAAAAUGAAUGCGGAUGCAAUCUGUACAAACUCCCACUCUGGCCCUCCAUACAGUCCCCAGAGCAUGUCACACAUAUGUAUGAAAUGUCAUCUUUGCUUCUUAAUCCGAAAGUUGUCUGGUUAUGAGUAGCCUAGUGGGAGUGGCCUCUACAUUCAUACUAAUGUCGGAGUUAUUUUCUUCCAAUGUAGCCAAAAGGAUUUCAGCAGAAACCCCCUCCUCCUCCUCCUCCUCCUCCUCUCUCCACAUCACGCUUAAUUUAAAACCAUGGCUACGUUAGUGUGCUCCUUCAAAUACCGCACUAUUUCUUCCAGGACCCUGUGGGAGAUUGGCAGGUCCCCAUUGGACUGAGCGAGAAAGUGCCACAAGACAAAAAUAUCAGAGUUUGGAUGUGAUGAAGAAAGCCUUUAUGCUCAGAGUAACAAAAAACAGCUUGUGUUGAAUACCUCCUGGAUAGAAGUUGAGGCAGCCUUUAAUGUAGGCGAGUGAGAUGUGUCGUUGGAGGAACAGGUAAGAUACCAUAAGGUUUAGGACAGUGAACUGCCAGAUACGCAUCGAAUGUGGCGAUGUACGUCAGAAAGGGUGUUGAUGGAGCAAAUACUUGUCAUGGUCCCUAACUGCAUCCGAUUUCAGGGAAAAUGUUUGUUUAAUUUUUUUUUAAUCUACCUUAAGUCAACUCAAAAAUGAAGUCAGUGUUUGUGAACUUGUAGAACAUUUUCCCAAAUGUGUAAUCUAAAGCUUUUAUUUUAAACAUGUGGUAGUGGAUGGGAACAAGGCCAGUGCUGCCAGCUUUUAGAUUUGAAAUAAAAGUUGUCGCUGCUCAGUGUU